UGGGGAAUAUUGCACAAUGGGGGAAACCCUGAUGCAGCGACGCCGCGUGGAGGAAGAAGGUCUUCGGAUUGUAAACUCCUGUUGUUGAGGAAGAUAAUGACGGUACUCAACAAGGAAGUGACGGCUAACUACGUGCCAGCAGCCGCGGUAAAACGUAGGUCACAAGCGUUGUCCGGAAUUACUGGGUGUAAAGGGAGCGCAGGCGGGAAGGCAAGUUGGAAGUGAAAUCCAUGGGCUCAACCCAUGAACUGCUUUCAAAACUGUUUUUCUUGAGUAGUGCAGAGGUAGGCGGAAUUCCCGGUGUAGCGGUGGAAUGCGUAGAUAUCGGGAGGAACACCAGUGGCGAAGGCGGCCUACUGGGCACCAACUGACGCUGAGGCUCGAAAGUGUGGGUAGCAAACAGGAUUAGAUACCCUGGUAGUCCACACUGUAAACGAUGAUUACUAGGUGUUGGAGGAUUGACCCCUUCAGUGCCGCAGUUAACACAAUAAGUAAUCCACCUGGGGAGUACGACCGCAAGGUUGAAACUCAAAGGAAUUGACGGGGGCCCGCACAAGCAGUGGAGUAUGUGGUUUAAUUCGACGCAACGCGAAGAACCUUACCAAGUCUUGACAUCCUGCGACGAUGCUGGAAACAGUAUUUUCCUUCGGGACGCAGAGACAGGUGGUGCAUGGUUGUCGUCAGCUCGUGUCGUGAGAUGUUGGGUUAAGUCCCGCAACGAGCGCAACCCUUAUGGUCAGUUACUACGCAAGAGGACUCUGGCCAGACUGCCGUUGACAAAACGGAGGAAGGUGGGGAUGACGUCAAAUCAUCAUGCCCUUUAUGACUUGGGCUACACACGUACUACAAUGGCGUUAAACAAAGAGAAGCAAGACCGCGAGGUGGAGCAAAACUCAGAAACAACGUCCCAGUUCGGACUGCAGGCUGCAACUCGCCUGCACGAAGUCGGAAUUGCUAGUAAUCGCAGAUCAGCAUGCUGCGGUGAAUACGUUCCC
rnacentral:rRNA from 1 species